ACCAAAUAGAGUUGAAAGUAAUUUAUUCAGUUCUCUCUAUACAAUUUAAUACCUUAUUUGUAUCCUUAUUCUUAUUGAAUAAUAAUUUAUCGAUUGAAAAAAUUUUACUUCGUAUAAUUUCAUUUCGUUUACCUGUAGAACUAGCAUAGUGAACGAUUUUUUAUGAUUUAGAAUUCUCAAUUUAGUUUUCUGUGGAUGGAACUGUUAACCGUGACGUUCAUUUUAAACGAUGUAUUAUAUUUCAGAGUCCCAGCUGAAAUCGGAUUACAAGUACAAAAAGUAACUUAUUCAGAGCAUUCGAUAAAUUCCAUUUGAUUAUCGGCCAAUUGGAGUCGAAUUCCAUGAUACAAAAAUUCAAAUAUACUAAAUGCACCAAGCCAAUGGAAUUUCAGUGAAACACACUAUGUCAAAUUUCACCCACGCAUAUUGAGGCUAUAUUGUAAAUCUUUGUGCUAUGAAUGCUCUUUGUGUUGUAUUGAUAUAUCAAAUUAACUGAAGCAAUGUUUAUCGAUUUUCGAUGUUAUGUACCACCACCUGUUUGAUAAUUCAAUUUCUAAAUAAAGUGGCAAAUCUUCUUGGA